GACGAACGCUGGCGGCGUGCUUAACACAUGCAAGUCGAACGGGGGUAGCAAUACCCCAGUGGCGAACGGGUGCGUAACACGUGAGGAAUCUGUCCAUCGGCGGGGGAUAGCCGGCCCAACGGCCGGGUAAUACCGCGUACGUCGGCGAGAUCGCAUGAUCUUGCCGGGAAAGCAGCAAUGCACCGAUGGAGGACCUCGCAGCCUAUCAGCUUGUUGGCGGGGUAAUGGCCCACCAAGGCAACGACGGGUAGCUGGUCUGAGAGGAUGAUCAGCCACAUUGGGACUGAGACACGGCCCAGACUCCUACGGGAGGCAGCAGUGGGGAAUAUUGCGCAAUGGGCGAAAGCCUGACGCAGCGACGCCGCGUGUGGGAUGAAGGCCUUCGGGUUGUAAACCACUGUCGGGAGGGACGAAGAUCUGACGGUACCUCCAAAGGAAGCACCGGCUAACUCUGUGCCAGCAGCCGCGGUAAUACAGAGGGUGCAAGCGUU
rnacentral:rRNA from 1 species